UGAUCUGAGGCAGAGGUUGACAAACAUAGAACUCAAAGAGAUGUACUCUGUGGAUGAACAUCGACCUGCACAGUCCGAGGGAGCACAAAUUGCAGCAGAGAAAGAGAUCCUUUUGAAAACUCUGAAGGAUUUGAGUGAUGAUGAGCUCGACAGAUUUCAGUGGUUGCUGCAGGUCACGUACUUCCAGAAGAGCAUAUCCUUCCGUUAUGGAUAUCCCAAUUGGAAAGAAAGUGCUCUCCAGCUAGUGGAUCAGAUGGUGGAGACCUGUGGUCCGCAGUCUGUGGAGGUGACCAGGGAGGUUUUAAUGGACCUGAACAGAACUGAUCUAGCGGAGAGAUUAUCAGAGACUAUCUUAAGAAUCAAAGGUAAGAGAAAGAAAACUAAAACUGCUACAUCACACAGAAGAGU